UGCUUGAAUACAUGCUGUCCAUUCAGCUGAGUAUCAGGGAUGUGAUAAUAACAGAUGAAAGCAAAAAAAGGUUACCAUAACUGAAAUAGGUGUAGCAACACAUGAAUGUCUUCCCUCUGAGAAAUGCACUGUACCAUUUUAUCAUCUGGUGCAAUAAGAUGCCAUCAUACAGUGAGAUCAUCCUUCUGAUCCUGUCCAGUGGCAGCAUGGACGUCUCCAGCCCUCUGCUAGCUGCUGUUUUAGGGAUGGACCUCUGCUUUAAGGGGCUAAAAAUCUGUGCAGAAGUUCUUCUGAGAACUAAUGUUACUUGCAUCUUGCUGUAG
rnacentral:lncRNA from 1 species